rnacentral:rRNA from 1 species
CUAUUGGAGAGUUUGAUCCUGGCUCAGGACGAACGCUGGCGGCGUGCUUAACACAUGCAAGUCAAGGGGGCCCAGCAAUGGGCAACCGGCGAACGGGUGCGUAACACGUGAGCAACCUACCGAA